UUUAUGGAGGCGAUUUUACACAUAUAUAGGCAAAUAUUCAUAGCGCAUGUGGUGGCACGUGAAGCAUGCUAUGUGGCAACACUACCAGCUGUUUAAAUGCCCGCCUCAAGGCGCGGGGAUUUAAAUUUUAAAAAACAAACUUCACCACGCGAUACUUCAUGGUAUCCCCGACAUGAUAAGCGAAGAAAACAAAUUUCGUGGAUUUGAAAAAUAUUCCGCCAAAAAUACCCCCAGACUUCCCCCUUAAUGCAGCUCACGCAUACGUAGAUGCGAUCGAGGUGCUGACAUCACGCCGGUGUUGUAGGAAUUAGCUCGCAGUCGCAAAAUAGCUCGCAGAGAGAGGUUCAACUUGGUUACCUUUUCUGUAUGUCACUCACUGUUAUCGUUUACUUCUCCUGUUUCUGCUCCAAUACAUGGCACAAACAUCAGAGCAAUACUUUGAAUCAAGAAAAGGCUUUAAGAAAGAAUUGCCCCACAUUGACGUUCACGCAGUUCUCGCUCGUUGAUCUGUGGGCUGGUGUGUUAUUUUGUCUUGCGGGCAAUAUCAACCGUCACAAAAAAUCACAAGUGGACAAAUUAGAAAAACACUAGGCAAAUUAAUGUGUUUGCCUGUUGUGUAUUCCCCAUGCAGUGCCCAUGUGUGGUAGACAACACAGUGAUUUAUUUUUGCGAGGAGGUAUUUCUCGCAACACCGGCCUGCCUAUCAGCUGUUCGCUGGUCUCUGCGGCGUGAGUGUCAUCAGCAUCACUCCCUUACCUCGGCUCGGUGACUCGGCGGUGUCAGACAGGCUUCCUUCCCUGGGUGGUACCAGUGUAGUGCGGAGACGGCCUGAAUGGGUGCGGAAGCGAGUGAGGUAUCUCCCCCAGCCGUCCCCUCGACACAGCCAUCACCCGCCUGAGGAUUGGCCACAGCCGCCUCAAUGCACACCUGCCCAGACUGUCUAUAGUCCAGGAUCCUCACUGCCCAUGGUGCCCCACACAACCCGACACACCGGAACACCACCUUCUCCACUGCAUAAGAUUCCACUCCUUCCGCACUAACCUCAGAGCUUCCCUAACAAGACUGCAUUCACAGGCCAACCCUAGAGGACCUGCUGGGCAGCGACACUCUCAGCCCCGACACAGCCUUCCAAGCCCUCAAGUGUACGCAGACCUUCCUGCAGAAGUCGGGGCAACUCGAUAGAAUCUAACCACCACACCAGUGACAGAACGACAACCAAAAACAACACUGGAUAGCGACUACUACUGACGGGGCUCUAGAGGCUGUGGUCCCAUAACCUAACUAGCCCCAUAAGAAAACUCAAGAAGAAUAAGAAGAAGAAGAGAGUGAGGCUGAAGUUCAAUACAGGCUAAGCUGCUUCUCGCGACCCGUGGGUUAAGCAUAGACCUCAUCUAAUAGAAUGCCACAUCACCAUAGGAGAACAUCCGAUGAAGUUUCCACCUUGAUGGUAACACAGGAAAUAUUCAAGGAAUUAUGUUCAGAGGGGUCAGACGCCUGUGGUCAGGGAUGUUUGGUCGCUACCUUUGGGUGACCAACACUGUAAGCUGUGGGGGUAUGCUAGCCCUCGGGGAUGGCAUCCAGCAGCAGUUGGAGCAUGCCAGGGGCGUUGGCACCAACCCCAACUAUGACUGGAAAAGGACUGGCAGACUGUUCCUGGUGGGGCUGAGCCAGGGACCCCCACACCAUAUCUUCUAUCUGUGGCUUGACAAGGUGAUGCCUCAAAGGACUGGCAAAGUGGUGUUCAAGAAGAUCCUGGCAGACCAGUUCCUUGGGGCUCCUUUCUUUGCUGUCACAUUUUUCCUUGGAGCAGGGCUUUUGGAAGGACACACACUGGCUGAGUCUUGGAAGGAGUUCAAGCAAAAGUUUCCUGCAGUGUAUGCUUUUGACUGGAUCAUCUGGCCACCGACGCAGGCCAUCAAUUUCUACCUGAUUCCAGCCCCUUACCGAGUACUGUACAUCAAUGUGAUCACAGUGAUCUGGGAUAUCUUCCUCUCCUACAUGAAGCACAAGGACCAAGUUUCAAAAAUCACCGAAGAUGAGCCAUAACAAAAGCACUAAUCUGAAGAAGUACCAUUAUAAUGUUGAAGAGAGAGAAUUUUAUCAAUCACCACUUUUUAUAUCAAAGGUAUGUUCUGUAAUAGAUUUUAGAAGAUAGAUUUUGCUUAUGUUAACAUGCUCACAGAUUUUAUUCUUUGUGAGAUUUGAUUAUCAGGUACAGAGCACAAAGACAGGCUGUAAUGAACAUAUCAAUUUUUUUUAACACAAGGGUGAGAAUGACCUCUUAGAUAGAUAGAUAGAUAGUUUAUUCGUCAAAUUGUGAUACAUUAAAUUUUGUAUACAAAACAAAAUUCAUUUUGGCUUAAGAGCUCCCUAGUAGUUAUUUGUACAUUAAAAAUAAAUAAAAUCAAUGAAGCAAAAAAAGCAUUUAAAAACAUUAAAAACAUUAAAAACAUUACUAAAAACAUUAUUUGGGCUAUUGAUAUAAAAAUCGUAUACAUGCAGUAAUAAGUUAUUUCUACCUUUAUCACAAACUAUCAUAUACAGUUAUUAUGACUACUUACACCUAAAAGUUAUAGUGAUGAUAGGUGGUUAAAGAGGAGAAUGCUUUUAGGUACAAAUGACUUUCUGUACCUGUCAGUACACUGCAUGGGCAGAGCUAACCUUCUACCAGAUCUUAGAUUUGUAUAACAAUUAUGUAGCGGAUGAGUUAUAUCUUUCAUAAUCCUGUCUACUUGUUUCAUUGUACCUGUCUGAUAAAGAUUAUCUAGUGAUAUGGUCUCUGCACCUAGUUUUCCUGCCUUUUUAACAAUCCUUCCUAGCUUGUUUUUAUCUUUACAGGUAAGCUUUCCAUACCAGGCAGUGAUUGAAAAGUUUAAAACUGAUUCUAAUGUUGAUUUAUAAAAUAGGCUAAUUAUCACUUUAUCCACACGUAGAUUGCUCAAGAUACGUACAAAGUGUAAUUUUUGGUUGCAUUUCCUUGCCACUAUAUCUGUAUUAACACUGCCCUUUAACUGGUCAUCGAUCAUAAAACCCAGAUACUUAUACUGGCUUACUCUCUACGUUUUCCUCCUCAAUUUUUAAUAGAUCUGGUACGUGUUUAUUUUUAGUUCUGAAAUCGAAUAUCAUCUCCUUAGUUUUCUUUACAUUGACCUCCAAAAAAUUUAAUUUACUCCAAUCAACAAUUUUUUUUACUUGAGUUAGAUAGCUUUCAUAAUUAUCAUUAUCAAUUUUUCCUAGGAUAACUGUAUCAUCAGCAUAUGUUAUAAUAGUACAAUCCUCAGACUCACUUCUACAAUCAUCUGUGUACAAGGUGAACAGAACGGGGGACAAUACACAACCUUGAGGGGUUCCUGUGUUGAUGACAAUCACAUUAGACUUAACAUUAUUUACAUUAGUGUGUUGGGGUCUCUUGUGUUAAAAAGCUAAAAAUCCAUUUUAAGAUAUUUCUAUUUACACCCAUUUCUAGCAUUUUUUUGAGCAAAAUGUGAGGUUGCAUUGUAUUAAAUGCUGAACUAAAAUCAGUAUACAGUGCUCUAACUUGUGAUUUAGGUUUAUCUAAGUGCUUGUUAACAUCAUUUAGUAAUAUUAGUGUUGCAUCCUGUACACUCCUAUUUUUACAGUAAGCAAACUGCAUAGGGUCUUUUAAAUUAUUUGUAUUAUCACAAAUGUAGUGUAGUGUUCUCUAUGGAAUUGGUUUCAGAUCUAUCUAUAUCUCUGUCAUCCUAUUACCUCACAUGAACCUUCCUCAAAUUGUUGGUCAUGACAGACUUCAGUUGUCCUGACAUUCCCUCUCAGUGUGCUCAGUCCUUUGCCUUUCAAUUCACUUUCUCCAAUACUUGUCCACUCUAUUGAUCCAUUUCACUGGUGUCUCCUCCAGCAAACCUUCUCCCUCAAUCCUGUCCUUAUAUGUUCUACAAUAUCAUUCUCAUUCAUUCACAUCAGGUGUUCAAAGCAUCAGAGUGCCAUGCUUCACUCAUUCAACCACUCAACAAUCCACUCCCUUUGCUGUUACUCUUACACCAAACUUUUCGUACAUAUUUCACUUACUUUCCUUAUCUCAUCUUGACAAUUCACAGGCACCUUUUAUUUAGCUUUUUUCACUGUGUAUCACGAGCCUCCAUGGAGCAGUGGUCAGUGUGCCUGGCUACAAUUCCGUGGACCUGGGUUUGAAUCCUGGCUGGUACUUUGGGAAACCUGGGGAAGGUAAACUGUGGCAAUCCCAUAUGUCACACUGGCCCAUGUCCUGGGGUAAUUGGUUCUUACCUACCACAGGCUCAAAGGCAGUGGUGGGUACCGCUAACCGAAAAGUAAGCUUUGCUAACUGGUAAUCCACUAACUAAAAAGUUAGCUUUGCUUACACUAAACCGCUAAACUGAUACAGAAAUUAGUGGAAGCUAACGCUAACCACUGAUCGCUAACUUUUUUAUAUGGAUUUAGCUUCGGUUUAGUAUUUUGGCUCUAAUACCCUUAAAAACAGACCUAGUGACUUGAAAUUUCAGUAUGUUCUAGCUUAGACAUAGAGCUUUUCAGAAAGGAAUAGUAUGCCAAAAUCAGAUUAUGAUAAAUGUGUACACAAAUAAACAAAUUAAAUUCAACGUACACUUUAUUUAUGCCUUAUAUGUGAACUUGCAAUAGCAGUGCAGAAAGACAAGAACAAACAUGUAUGAAUUUUUUAGUGGACUUAGAGUUAGUGGAGGAGGAACUACAUUUAAUGGAAGCUAAUUGGUCCGCUAACUGUUUCCAAUGUUAGCGAAAACACUAAUAAGCUAAUGAAAAAGUUAGCUUUGCUAAAUAGCGGUUAGCGGAACCGUGCCCACCACUGCAUGGAGAUGAGCACCGUAGCCACACACUGCCAUAGCAUAUGCACCCACCUUUACCUUUACUUUGUAUUUGUAUUUGCUCUUUGUGUGUGCUUCUGGAACAUCCUGAGCCUUUUGGAUGAUCACAGACUGCCUUACCUCUUGAAUGAGCUCAGAAGGCUGAAGGGGGCUACAGUAAGACUGAGAAGUAGAGGCCAUCAGUGGUGAGAUCAGUAGUGGGGGGUAUACAUACAACUGGUUUAGCAUGAGCAGUGAUGCCUGUCCAAGAGGGUAGCUAUAAGUAUAUCCGACCAACUGUAGCUAUUUGUGGUUGAGAUUACUGCAGUUGAGAAGCAUAUGAUGUGAGUGAGGCUGAAGCACAUCCUAGGCUUCAUGUUUCUUGCUGCAGUGUACACUCCUACUGAGAUGUGUGAAACUGCAGAGAAGGUGUUUUACCCUAAACUCGACUCUGUGUUAGACCAAUGUUCCCCUUGGGACACAUUCAUUGUCUUAAGUGACUUCAAUGCUACUACUGGCAUUGACAAGGUUGGCUAUGAGUUAUAUGUUGGUCCCCAUAGUUUUGGCACGAGGAACACCAACAGCUCUUUCCUCCUUAAUUUUGCAAGUUCCAUGUGAUUGAGUAUUUCAGGUUCUUGGUACUAGAGACUAGAGUUGCACUGCUUUGUAUAGCAGUGCUGAUGGGGUAGCUAAGGAGGCUGAUCACAUCCUUGUAAACACUCGCUGGAGGACCCACACAUUCAAGUCACACAGCUAAGUUUACACAUAGUCACCCAACAGGGUGCUUGACUGACCAUUAGAGACUCUCCCAGAACAGACAGGAACCAACAUACAUUGUAUACUGUAUUUGCCAGUGUUGAAUGCACUAUUUUUCUCUAAAUAAAAUUUGUAAGAUUAGUAUGCACUGAGUGUUGCAUCAUUUGUAGUGUACAGAUAAGAAUGUGUUGUUUUUGCUGGAUGGCUGUGACGGUCUGCGUAGUAGACGACGAGUAUACACUUACGGCAGCCUUUGUUAUUGUUUUGGUGUUGGUUUUGGUCUUGGUGUCAGAAUUGCCAACUCCACGACACAUGAACAGACUGUACUGUGUCAUCCAGCAAGCCUCCAAACACCUGUACCUUGGUCUUGGCCCAGGAGACCUGAAGUCCCAAGGGCUUUGCCUCCUGAUGCAGUGCCUCAAGAGCCAUCACCAAAACCACCACUCUGCUAGGAUUACUGCAUCAUCAGCAAAAACAAGGUCAGUGACCCUGGUAUUGCCAAUGAAUGCUCCGCAAUGACUGGUCCACAACUCUGCCCAGUACCCAGUCCAUACAAGUGUUGAAAAGCGAUGGGGCAAGGACACAGCCCUGCCUCACUCCCGCAUUCACGGGAAAGAAGCUGGACAAGCCCCGCCCCACACUUCACAGCACUCUCUGUCCCAGAAAACAGGCCAGUCAGCAAACCAAUAGUCCUGACAGGAAUCCCACGGAGUCGCAGACGACCCCAGAGUGCCUCGUGAUGCACUGAAUCAAACGCCUUCUUGAGAUCAACAUAGGCUGCAAGCAUCCCCUGUUGAAACUCACGUCGGCGCUCCACCAGUGUGCGAAGCGCUAGGAUAUGGUCAGUUGUUGACUUACCAGGCGUGAACCCAGACUGUUCAGGUCUCUGCAGCUUCAGCAGCUGGCUGCGAAUUCGCAUCAGCAAUAGGUGGGCAAGCACCUUGCCUGGCACACUGAGCAGUGUAAUACCACGGUAGUUGUUGCAGUCCUGACGGUCCCCUUUCCCUUUUCAGAUAGGGACGACCAACCCCCUCUUCCAGUCAGGAGGAAUGGUACUGGACUGCCAUACAGCAGUCAAGACCACAUGCAACCUGCGGAUCAUGGCCUCACCUCCAGCUUUGAGCAGCUCCGCACUGAUGUUACAGGUGCUAGGUGCCUUCCCACCCCUCAACUUAGCCACAGCCGAGAGAGGGUGGGCUUUCGUUAAUGGGUGGGUCAGCGUCCGCCACCUGCAACCCAGCAAGUGGAAGCUGCCUACGUGGAGGGUCCACCAUGUACAGCUGCUCAAAGUACUCAGCCCAUGAGCCCUCUGCCCAUCCAUGUCUGAUAUGAGGCAGCCAUCAGCUGUUCGGAUAGUGCUCACCUGAGAGGAAGACUUGGAGCGGAGCUUCUUCAGGGCUCGGAACUAAUGCUGAAUGGGCAGCCAAGAAUGAAGAAUCUAUUCCACAUCAUCUUUGUGAGGGGAAGAAUGGACUUUGGAUGAGCUUACUGUCUUGUCACCAGCCUUAAGUAUUUGGUUGCAAGGGAGCCCACAGCCCAGAAGAUGAACCACUGUGGAAUUAUAAACAUUGACUGAAGAAACUGUGAGGAAGACCAACAGCAACCAAGACAGCUGGCAGGACCUUCUGAAGACACAAAGGGGAGUGAGGAUAAACUGCAGUACCUGAAGUCUUCUAGGCAAAUGGUAGAGAAGGGAACAGUCCAACUUGUUUGAUCAUCAGCAACACAAAAGGGAAGGAGGAGAGGCCCCAGUACCGUAGCAUUCAGGACCAAUGGUAGAGAAGGGAACAGUCCAGUGACACAAGGGGGAGUAAGGCCACACUACUUUAGUCUUCAGGUCAAGUGCAGAGAAGAGAACAGUUCAGCUUGUUUGGGCAGAGGAGACAAAGGGAAGUGAGGAGAGGCCACAGUACCUUAGUUCUCAAGGCAAAUGGUAGAGAAGGGAAAACAGCCUAGGAGUGAAGACACAAAAGGGGAGUGAGGAGAGGCUGCAGUACCUUAGUCUGUAGAGCAAAUGCUAGGAGUCUGCAUUACAGGGAAGGAACAGUCCUGCUUGCCUUGGUAGUGGAGACAUUAAGGGGAGUGAGGAGAGGCUGCAGUACCUUAGUCUGUAGAACAAAUGCUAGGAGUCUGCAUUAUAGGGAAGAAACAGUCCAGCUCAUCUUGGUAGUGGGAGAUGCAAAAGGGGAGUGAGGAGAGGCUGGGGUGUGUGUCUUCAGGGCAAGUGGUAGAAGAGUGUUGUAGGGAAGGAACAGUCCAGCUCAUCUUGGCAGUGGAGACAACAGCUAAGACUGUACACCACCAUUACCACAAGCUGGGAUGGUGUUAUGUCCGAGGUCACUUGAAAGGUGUGGGCUGUAUCCCAACAUCUAUACUUCUGUACACUGUUGGCUGGUGUCUCCAUUGACAUUACAAGCUACACCCUGCUCCUACCUGACAGCUCCAUAGCACAGCACCUCCCCUCUACCUUUGCUGGGAGUUUACUGCUCUUCAUUAGUCCAUGGUGGCUCCUUACCAUGGUCCUGCAGUUAGAGAUCCCCUCUACUGCUCAACUUGUUGGAUGAGUCUGCUUGGUCUGACUUCUUUGCUCCUAUUGUAAGUAUGUUGUAUUGUACCCUGUGAUUUAUUAAUGAGAGAGAGAGAGAGAGAGAGAGAGAGAGAGAGAGAGAGAGAGAGAGAGAGAGAGAGAGAGAGAGAGAGAGAGAGAGAGAGAUAGAGAGAGAUAGAGAGAGAGAGAGAGAGAGAGA